rnacentral:lncRNA from 1 species
UGUUUUUAUGCUGUUUUUCUUGGCUCUCUUGUUCUAUACUUUGGCUCCUUCGACGAUCAUGUUUGUCUGACUGGUCCUUACUAUCACUGUGAUCUCGUUUGUGGGAACGUUCUUUGCUUCUACUACGCUUUCUAGAUUUUUCUUUGCUGGGACUAUGUUCCCGUUUUUUUGAUUUUUCAACACUGUCAGUUCUUCCUUGACUGCCACUUCGACUUCGUUUAUUUGAUUUUUCUUUACUUUCAUUUUUAUGUUUACUUGAUUUCUCUUUGCUUCUACUUCUACUUCGUUUCCCUGCAUUUCUACUUCGACUCCUACUUCUGUGUUUCCUUUCUCUGCUUCUGCUUCUACUGUGUUUUUUCUCUUUCUUGGAAUCUCUUUUGUCAUCUCUGUGCCGCCUAUCAUCUUUGUCUUCUUUAUGUUUCUUCUCUUCUACCUCUCCCCUACUUCUCUGUUCCUUGGACCUUUCUCUUGAUCGCUCUCUCUCUUUUUCUCGUUCAUUUCCUCUUUCCUUAUCAUAGUCACGAUCUCGUCUUCUACCUCUCUCAUUUUCUUUCUCUCUUUCUCGAUCCCUGUCCCUUCUAUCCCCUUUCCUAUCACGACUUCGACUGCGACUUCUAUGCCUUUCCCUACUUCUGCUGCGCCUGCGUUCUAACCCCCGGUCAAUACUUCGGGAUCUUCGCCGUUCUUUCUCCCUUUCUUUGGCUUCACGCUCUAGUCGCUGGCGUUCUUUCUCUCUUUCUAAUUCUCUGUCAAAACUAGAAGACCCAUGGCCCUCCCGAUGAUGACUUCUACUUCUUGACCUUCUUGGGGACCUCCGUGGACUCAGAGAUCUCCUUGGAGACCUUGAACGUCUGCGUUCAACAUGUCUGUCUAUUUCCUCAGCACCUUCCUUCCC